UGCAUGUCUAAGUAUAAAUAAUUUUUACUGUGAAACUGCGAAUGGCUCAUUAUAUCAGUUAUAGUCUAUUUGAUAGUACCUUACUACUUGGAUAACCGUAGUAAUUCUAGAGCUAAUACAUGCUAAAAAACCCAACUGCUUGUCGGACGGGUUGCAUUUAUUAGAUUGAAACCAAUCUGGCACUUGUGUCGGUAUUGAGUUGAGUCAUAAUAACUGUGCGGAUCGUAUUUCUAUGCGAUGAAUCAAUUGAGUUUCUGCCCUAUCAGCUUUGGAUGGUAGGAUAUGGGCCUACCAUGGCAUUAACGGGUAACGGGGAAUUAGGGUUUGAUUCCGGAGAGGGGGCCUGAGAAACGGCCACCACAUCCAAGGAAGGCAGCAGGCGCGUAAAUUACCCAAUUCUGACACAGAGAGGUAGUGACAAUAAAUAACAAUGCCGGGCUUUUUUAAGUCUGGCAAUUGGAAUGAGAACAAUUUAAAUCCCUUAACGAGGAUCAAUUGGAGGGCAAGUCUGGUGCCAGCAGCCGCGGUAAUUCCAGCUCCAAUAGCGUAUAUUAAGAAAAGUUGAUAUCUUACCACGCAUGGUAAAACUUUAAAUGCGCAUAAAAGUAGCUUUGAAAGAAGUUGCUAGUCUACAUGACUGGGUUGUCUUUUGUCUUUGGAUGGAAGAUGAUUCGGUAGUAGGCGACACCAUCAAAUUGCGGGAACUCCCUAAAGCUUUGAGUACUAAGUCUAGAUAGAAAUAUACUAGAUGGCCAGGUUAAUGACCUCGGGUAUAGUAAAAACCUCAAAGAUGAAUUAUGACAAUGGGUAAUCCGCAGCCAAGCUCUAAGGUAUAUAAUUAUAUACUAUGAGUGCAGUUCACAGACUAAAUGGUGGCGGGUAUACCAUAUGGUAUGCUUAAGAUAUAGUCGGACCCAUCUUGAAAGGGAUGUUCAUAGGAGGAAUCUUGUAUUUAAAAGCAAGAGGAGAGUCUAUGAAGUGUUAGUAAUAACAUGGAGUAAUCGAUAUUAAAGUUGUUGCAGUUAAAAAGCUCGUAGUUGGAUUUCUGUCUUGAAUUUCCGGUCCGUAUAUUUAUUUAUAUGUGUACUUGGAAUUUCGAUUCAUUUUUUGUGAGACUGUUGUACUGACAUUAAGUUGUUGGCAUAAUGGGCUUGCAUCGUUUACUGUGAAAAAAUUAGAGUGUUUAAAGCAGGCGUUUCGCUGUUGAAUACAUUAGCAUGGAAUAAUAAAAUAUGACUUUGGUGGUCUAUUUUGUUGGUUUGCACACCAGAGUAAUGAUUAAUAGGGACAGUUGGGGGUAUUCAUAUUUCAGCGUCAGAGGUGAAAUUCUUGGAUCGCUGAAAGAUGAGCUUAGGCGAAAGCAUUUAUCAUGGAUGUUUUCAUUAAUCAAGAACGAAAGUUAGGGGAUCGAAGAUGAUUAGAUACCAUCGUAGUCUUAACCAUAAACUAUGCCGACUCGGGAUUGGCAGUCGUUGAUUUAAUGACCUUGUCAGCACCGUAUGAGAAAUCAAAGUCUUUGGGUUCCGGGGGGAGUAUGGUCGCAAGGCUGAAACUUAAAGGAAUUGACGGAAGGGCACCACCAGGAGUAAACUUAGUUAUCCACUAGUUUUCAAACGUAUACUAUUUAGCCGUAGUACUCUGCUCCAAAAAGCAGCCCUAAAGGGUGAGGUGGGUUUUGCACUUGUAAAAACAAAAGGUAAAUGCUAGUCUAAUUUUAUAUUGGGCGACACUGUCAAAUUGCGGGGAGUUCCUUAGAGCCUUUACUACCAAGUUAAGAUGGAAACAUACUUAAUGGCCAGGGUAAUGACCUCGGGUAUGGUAAAAACGUAAAGGAUUGGAUAAUCCGCAGCCAAGUCCUAACCUCUUUAAAGAGUAUGGAACGGGUUCACAGACUAAAUGGCAGUGGGUGUACUAUAAAAAAGUACGCUUAAGAUAUAGUCGGACUGUACUUGAAAGAGUAUAGACGAUAACUUUUAUAAAAAAGGCUUGGGAGCCUGCGGCUUAAUUUGACUCAACACGGGAAAACUUACCAGGUUAAAAAACAGAACAUUUUUUACAUUUGUCUGGGCCUGGGAUAGUAGGGACUCUUUCGAGAGUUUAUGCCUGCUAGUAUUGAUUUAAUCCAUGUAAGACUUUUAAGUCUGUUAUUUCGGGCAUGGACCAUUGGUAUCAAUGCGACAUCAGCUGGUACAGGGGACGCUAAGGGUUUUAUACCUAUGCCAAUCCUGUGGCGAGUCUAUACAUUGCGAAAUGUACACGACCGUCGCAACGCGCGCUAAGCGAUGGGCUAAACUCUAGUAGUUGGCUUAAGGGACGUGCUAAUCCCUCGGGAAACCGAGUCUGUGUUUGGAAGGCCGAAUCCUAAAGAACAUAGAAACCAUUUGACUUUGUAUAGGAAAUGAUACAGAGAAGGUUUGGUAUUUUAAAAAUUGAUAGAUUUUAUACGUAAAUAUAAAAUAUACAUCAAUGGUAGGAAUGCCGGACAUAGUAAGGAUUGACA
rnacentral:rRNA from 1 species